rnacentral:rRNA from 1 species
CCUACGGGUGGCAGCAGUGAGGAAUAUUGGUCAAUGGACGAGAGUCUGAACCAGCCAAGUAGCGUGAAGGAUGACUGCCCUAUGGGUUGUAAACUUCUUUUAUAUGGGAAUAAAAUGUUCCAAGUGUGGGAUUUUGUAUGUACCAUAUGAAUAAGGAUCGGCUAACUCCGUGCCAGCAGCCGCGGUAAUACGGAGGAUCCGAGCGUUAUCCGGAUUUAUUGGGUUUAAAGGGAGCGUAGGUGGAUUGUUAAGUCAGUUGUGAAAGUUUGCGGCUCAACCGUAAAAUUGCAGUUGAAACUGGCAGUCUUGAGUACAGUAGUGGUGGGCGGAAUUCGUGGUGUAGCGGUGAAAUGCUUAGAUAUCACGAAGAACUCCGAUUGCGAAGGCAGUUCACUGGACUGCAACUGACACUGAGGCUCGAAAGUGUGGGUAUCAAACAGGAUUAGAUACCCGUGUAGUC